CACCAGCCACGAACCCAGGGGACGCCUGGUGCCUUUGACACCGCUGUACGAAGGGGAAACAGCCUGGGGCAAGGAAUACCCCAAUUAAGGUAUAUAAUAGCUGAGAUAUAUAUAUGUAUGUAUGUAUGUAUAUAUGUAUGUAUGCAUAUAUAUAAAAGAUAUAUAAAAGAUAUAUAAAAGCUGAUUAAUCUAAUUAACUAAGCUCAGAGGGGAGGAGGCGAGCGGCUGCCGGCCCCCUCUCCCCUGCAGCGCGCCGCUGCGCUCCCGCAGCCAAACACAGCAAACAAAAGCCAGAUGUUUCCUUUCUUCGGUUAGACCUGAAGCAAGCCGUCCCCAGACCAGAUAUAUUCCCCCCGCCCCCCCCCCCGAAAAGCCGAGGGAGGAAAACGACUCCCCAAAUUAAAAGGCAGCCGAGGCAGCUGGGCUUCUGUCUGCUUGUCUUUUAUUUCGGUUAAGGUCUGAGCCUUUAGGUGACCCAGUCGGAAGCUUAUCUGCAACAAGGAGAGCUAGAAAAUUAUUCAUUUUUUUUAAUGAAAGCUGAGGAAAAAUACAAAACGACAGGAAACUGGCGAUAAAAAUCACACCCGCUGCAGCCGGGACGAGGCAGCAUCUCCCAACACGGCCGGGGGCCACCUUCCCCGGGGGGGGGGGCUGCAUCCAGGUGCCCCCGCUCCAGCCUGCACCCGUGCAGAAGGGCAGCGAGGCGCCAGGGUCCCGCGCCUUCCCGAGGGCGCCGCUGCGCCCCCUCCGCACCUGCCUUCGCGGGCAGGAUGAGGCCGCCGAGCUGCAGCAAGUCCCUCGUGCCCAGGGUGCCCAGCGCCCUGCGGGGAGCGGGGUGCCAAGGCGCCCUCCCCGCCGCGGGGCAGCCGCGGAGAGGAGCACCCCAAGGCUGCCCUUCGGGUGGCCGCGGCCCCGCGGCGCGGGAGAGGAGCGGCGGCUUCCUCGGGGCCGGGGAAAGCAAGAGGCGUCGAGCCGGUCGCGCGGCGCCGGCGGGAGACGUUUUCCUUCGCGGCUCCCCUCCGUCCUUCGCCGUGGCCCCCCCCUCGCCCUCCUCGCCGGAGGCUGAGCGGGGUCCCCGGGGAGGCCCCCUCCGCGGCGUUAGGUGGAGUCCCAGCCACCUGGGCAGAGCGGAGCGCCCGUCACUGCCCCGGCGCCCCCCCAUGCCCUCCCCGAGCAGGGCCUGCCCCCCCGAGGCGCCUGCUGCCCCCGGACGGCGCGCCCCCGGCCCCCCCGGGCCCACUCACAGCGCCUGCCGUACAGCAUCCUCAUGACCUUGAGGCAGUUGUCCAGCAGCGCCUUGGGGCGCACGGCCUUCCUCCGGCUCUCGGCGCUGGCGCUGUGCACCUGCUUCACCAGGUCGGCCACCACCACGUCCACGUCCGUCUGCGGGGACACGGCACGGCCGCUGUCAGGCAGCAGCUCUGCAGCCAGCGGCCCCAGGCCCCCCACCGCUGGGUCCGAGGGCACCCGCCACCGUGCCGUGGCUCUGGUGGCACCCGUGCAGGCACCGUGGGCACGGCACACGUGGGUCACCAUGGUGCCUGUCCGUGUCUGGAUAGGACAGGGUCCCCAGCUCCCUCCCAUUGGCAUCAUGCCCCCCCCAUCAGUAAUGUCCCUUGCCACCGAGCCAGUGCCACUCGGUGCCACCAAACCAGGGAUGCUCCCUGCCACCCACCCCCGCCACAGCCCACUGGGAGCCCCGUUGGCCAACUGAGGGAUAGCUCUGGCGCUGCCUGGCUGUCGAUGUCACCCUGGGAGCCUGGGUGCCUGCAGAGGAGCUGCAGGGCUGGGCAGGAGGGAAGGAGCGAUGCCAGGAUGCUCCGGGGCAGAUUCUGCUCUGGCGCAGGGGGAACCAUCCUUAGGGUUGACUCCGGUCACCGCUGCAGCCCCCAAAUGCACAGAGGUGGCUCAGGAAGGCCUUCAGGGCUCCUGUCCGUGUACAGGGGCCGGCAGCGAUCCCUGAGCCACUCCAGAGAAAAGGUGGCAAAAACUCCAGCUCUGCAUUGGCCGGGAAUCGAACCCGGGCCUCCCGCGUGGCAGGCGAGAAUUCUACCACUGAACCACCAAUGCCAGAUGUGGCCUCCCGCACAGCUGCCCCACGGCCACACACCCCAGCAGCCCUGGUGCUGAGCGCAGCACCCACGGGGCCACCUUCCCUCCCUCCCAGACAAGCAGCCCUGCCGGCACCUUACUGCUGCCCAGCCGCAGAUCCAGGGGAACCUGCGCACCCCGGGCUCAGCCACUCCAGCACCUCCAGGACGCUGCACGGAAAGUCCUGCCCUGCCCUGCCCUGCCCUGCCAGCCACUGCAGCCAGGCUUGGCCUCUCCUCCUGCACACUGGGGUGUUUUGCAGCAGAAGAACCCAGGGGAGGAAAAGGCCUGACCCAGAACUGCAGCUUCUGUACCAAAGUCGACCUCUGGGUGCAGAAUGGCCUUGUGGCACUCCGAUGGGGGGUCUGAGGGCAGUGGGGACGGUCACCACUCUCUGGAACCCCCCAGGGAGAAGGACCCAAACAGACAGCUCUGAUUUCAG
ensembl:lncRNA